GAUGAACGCUGGCGGCGUGCUUAACACAUGCAAGUCGAACGGAAAGGCUCCUGCUUGCAGGGGUACUCGAGUGGCGAACGGGUGAGUAACACGUGGGUGAUCUGCCCUGCACUUCGUGAUAAGCCUGGGAAACUGGGUCUAAUACCGGAUAUGACCUCAUUUUGGAUGUUGUGGUGUAAAGUUUUUCGGUUUGGGAUUAGCUCGAGGCCUAUCAGCUUGUUGGUGGGGUAAUGGCCUACCAAGGCGUCGACGGGUAGCCGGCCUGAGAGGGUGUACGGGCACAUUGGGACUGAGAUACGGAGCAGACUCGUACGGGAGGCAGCAGUGGGGAAUAUGGAACAAUGGGCGCAAGCCUGAUGCAGAGACGGCGCGUGGGGGAUGACGGCCUUCGGGUUGUAAACAAAUGUAGCUAGGGAAGAAGAGGAAGUGACGGUACCUGGAGAAGAAGCACCGGCUAACUACGUG
rnacentral:rRNA from 1 species